ACUCAAAUGAAUAGACGGGGGCUCACACAAGCGGUGGAGCAUGUGGCUUAAUUCGAGGCUACGCGAAGAACCUUAUCCUAGGCUUGACAUGUGCGAAAGCGUCAGGAAGUAGCCGCCGGAAACGGCUGGCCAACGGUAUCCAGUCCGGAACCUGAUACAGGUGCUGCAUGGCUGUCGUCAGCUCGUGUCGUGAGAUGUCGGGUUAAGUCCCAUAACGAGCGAAACCCUUGCCUCUAGUUGCCAUUAUUCAGUUAGGGACUCUAGAGGGACUGCCGGUGUUAAACCGGAGGAAGGUGGGGAUGACGUCAAGUCCUCAUGGCCUUUAUGCCUAGGGCUGCACACGUGCUACAAUGCCGCGAACAAAGGGACGCAAACCCGCGAGGGGGAGCAAAUCCCAAAAAACGCGGCCCAGUUCAGAUCGAAGGCUGCAACUCGCCUUCGUGAAGCCGGAAUCGCUAGUAAUCGCAGGUCAGCAACACUGCGGUGAAUGUGUUCCUGAGCCUUGCACACACCGCCCGU
rnacentral:rRNA from 1 species